CAGCCGCCGCGGUAAUACCGGCGGCCCGAGUGGCGGUCACUAUUAUUGGGCUUAAAGCGUCCGUAGCCGGGUUGGGAAGUCCUCCGGGAAAUCUGGCCGCUUAACGGUCAGAAUGCCGGAGGAUACUCCCAGCCUAGGGACCGGGAGAGGCCGAGGGGAUUCCCGGAGUAGGGGGGAAAUCCUAUAAUCCCGGGAGGACCACCUGUGGCGAAGGCGCUCGGCUGGAACGCGUCCGACGGUGAGGGACGACGGCCAGGGGAGCAAACCGGAUUAGAUACCCGGGUAGUCCUGGCGGUAAACGAUGCGGACUUUGUGUCGGACAAGCUAUGAGCUUGUCCGGUGCCGGAGGGAAACCGUUAAGUCCGCCGCCUGGGGAGUACGGCCGCAAGGCUGAAACUUAAAGGAAUUGGCGGG
rnacentral:rRNA from 1 species